UGCAUUAAAUAUUUACAAGGGUGACCCCAACAAAAAUGGCGCUACUGCUGCUGCCGCGAAGACACCC
rnacentral:ribozyme from 1 species